rnacentral:rRNA from 1 species
CCCUUAGAUGUUCUGGGCCGCACGCGCGCUACACUGAUGCACUCAACGAGUCUAAAACCUGCUCUGAUAGGGGUGGGUAAUCUUUUGAAUGUGCAUCGUGAUUGGGAUAGAUGAUUGCAAUUUUUCAUCUUCAACGAGGAAUGCCUAGUAAACGCAAGUCAUCAGCUUGCAUUGAUUACGUCCCUGCCCUUUGUACACACCGCCCGUCGCUCCUACCGAUUGAAUGAUCCGAUGAAUAUCAUGGAUUGAGGAUGCAAGUAGGUUCGCCUAUCUUCAUCUUCGAGAAGUGAAGUAAAUCUUAUCAUUUAGAGGAAGGAGAAGUCGUAACA